GUGUGCUCACUUCGGCAGCACAUACAAAUACUAAAAUUGGAACGAUACAGAGAAGAUUAGCUUGGCCCCUGCACAAGGGUGACAUGCAAAUUCAUGAAGCAUUCCAUAUUAAA
rnacentral:snRNA from 1 species